GUGCCAGCCGCCGCGGUAAUACGAAGGGUGCAAGCGUUACUCGGAAUUACUGGGCGUAAAGCGUGCGUAGGUGGUUAUUUAAGUCCGUUGUGAAAGCCCUGGGCUCAACCUGGGAACUGCAGUGGAUACUGGAUGACUAGAAUGUGGUAGAGGGUAGCGGAAUUCCUGGUGUAGCAGUGAAAUGCGUAGAGAUCAGGAGGAACAUCCAUGGCGAAGGCAGCUACCUGGACCAACAUUGACACUGAGGCAC
rnacentral:rRNA from 1 species